CUGCAGCCAGCCAGGACACACAACAGAAAUACCUGCAAGAUUUAUCAGUGAAAGCUUGAGAACAGGAUAGGAUCCCAGUGAAGUUUCAAGCGCGGUGAAGUACAGAGCUGAAGAAAAUAAUCAUUAGCUCCAACAACUGUCAACCACCAGCAGUCCACCAAAUAAUCCUGAGAGAAGAAGUUCUUACAGGGAAAAAAGCAAGCAAUGAAUAAACAAGGAACAGGAAAAAAUGGAUUAAGUUCCCAAAAUUUCAUUUCGAAUCAAGAAAAGAGAGGUGAUGGAAAAAAAAAAAACUGACCAAGAAA